UUUAGACGAGGAUGGUGAAUA
ensembl:piRNA 21ur-1137 ncRNA